rnacentral:Y_RNA from 1 species
AGCUGGUCCGAGUGCAGUCGUGUUCACAACUAAUUGAUCACAACCAGUUACAGAUUCCUUUGAUCCUUCUCCAUUCCUGCUGCUUCACUUGACUAGCCUAAA